AACGAACGCUGGCGGCAGGCUUAACACAUGCAAGUCGAACGAACGUAGCAAUACGUGAGUGGCGCACGGGAGAGUAACACGUGGGAACCUACCUUUUGGUUCGGAAUAACGUCGGGAAACUGACGCUAAUACCGGAUACGCCCUAUGGGGGAAAGAUUUAUUGCCAAAAGAUGGGCCCGCGCUAGAUUAGCUUGUUGGUGAGGUAACGGCUCACCAAGGCGACGAUCUAUAGCUGGUCUGAGAGGAUGACCAGCCUCACUGGGACUGAGACACGGCCCAGACUCCUACGGGAGGCAGCAGUGGGGAAUAUUGGACAAUGGGGGAAACCCUGAUCCAGCCAUGCCGCGUGAAUGAUGAAGGCCUUCGGGUUGUAAAGUUCUUUUGGUGGGGACGAUGAUGACGGUACCCACAGAAUAAGCUCCGGCUAACUUCGUGCCAGCAGCCGCCGUAA
rnacentral:rRNA from 1 species